rnacentral:siRNA from 1 species
AGGAGGACAUAUACUCGAUGCUC